rnacentral:rRNA from 1 species
CCAAGGCGACGACGGGUAGCGGGCCUGAGAGGGUGACCGGCCACACUGGGACUGAGACACGGCCCAGACUCCUACGGGAGGCAGCAGUGGGGAAUAUUGCGCAAUGGGCGAAAGCCUGACGCAGCGACGCCGCGUGAGGGAUGAAGGCCUUCGGGUUGUAAACCUCUUUCAGCAGGGAAGAAGCGCAAGUGACGGUACCUGCAGAUGAAGCACCGGGUAACUACGUGCCAGCAGCCGCGGUAA